rnacentral:rRNA from 1 species
GACGAACGCUGGCGGCGUGCCUAAUACAUGCAAGUAGAACGCUGAAGAGAGGAGCUUGCUCUUCUUGGAUGAGUUGCGAACGGGUGAGUAACGCGUAGGUAACCUGCCUUGUAGCGGGGGAUAACUAUUGGAAACGAUAGCUAAUACCGCAUAACAAUGGAUGACACAUGUCAUUUAUUUGAAAGGGGCAAUUGCUCCACUACAAGAUGGACCUGCGUUGUAUUAGCUAGUAGGUGAGGUAAUGGCUCACCUAGGCGACGAUACAUAGCCGACCUGAGAGGGUGAUCGGCCACACUGGGACUGAGACACGGCCCAGACUCCUACGGGAGGCAGCAGUAGGGAAUCUGCGGCAAUGGGGGCAACCCUGACCGAGCAACGCCGCGUGAGGGAAGAAGGUUUUCGGAUCGUAAAGCUCUGUUGUAAGUCAAGAACGGGUGUGAGAGUGGAAAGUUCACACUGUGACGGUAGCUUACCAGAAAGGGACGGCUAACUACGUG